UACAGAGGUCUCAAGCGUUGUUCGGAUUCAUUGGGCGUAAAGGGCGCGUAGGCUGCGGGGCAAGUCGGGUGUGAAAUCUCAGAGCUCAACUCUGAAAACUGCACUCGAUACUGCUUUUGCUUGAGGACUGGAGAGGAGAUUGGAAAUUCACGGUGUAGCAGUGAAAAUGCGUAGAUAUCGUGAGGAAGACCAGUGGCGAAGGCGGAUCUCUGGACAGUUUCCUGACGCUGAGGCGCGGAAGGCCCAGGGGGGAGCAAAACGGGG
rnacentral:rRNA from 1 species